rnacentral:rRNA from 1 species
UAGGGAAUAUUAGUAAUGGGCGAAAGCCUGAACUAGCAACGCCGCGUGUGCGAAGAAGGCCUUCGGGUCGUAAAGCACUUUUUGAGAGGAUGAGGAAGGACGGUACUCUCAGAAUAAGUCUCGGCUAACUACGUGCCAGCAGCCGCGGUAACACGUAGGAGGCAAACGUUAUCCGGAUUUACUGGGCGUAAAGCGCGUGUAGGUGGUUUGGUAAGUAGGGCGUGAAAGCUCCUGGCUCAACUGGGAGAGGACGUUCUAAACUGCCAAGCUUGAGGAUGGUAGAGGGAGGUGGAAUUCCGGGUGUAGCGGUGGAAUGCGCAGAUAUCCGGAGGAACACCAGUGGCGAAGGCAGCUUCCUGGUUCGUUCCUGACGCUCAUACACGAAAGCCAGGGGAGCAAA